AUUUCUUUCUUCCAUGAUAUUAUGGUUCUCUUCUAAGCCUCUGAUUCCUGGUCUUGAAUCCUUCUUUGUUCUAAACACGGCUUUGAAACUGAGAUCUUUCACACCCAUUUUUGCUUCUUUUCUCUGUUGGUGUUUCUAUUUCUUAUUUGUAGAUUAGCAGCGCUAUGGCGAUUGGUUGGCGAAACGAAGGUAAUUGCUAGAAGUGGAAAUGACCCAGCUGGUGAUUUAGGUACAAGAUCAUGCACUAUAUCACGUCAUUGCAAUGUGAUGAUUGAUAUAUUGAUCGUGUUGGUGAAAACCACUAUCUUGGUAAGUGACGAUAUCACCGCAAUGAAAACGAUCACGGUGUGCAAUCUUCUUCAUAGGUCUGUUUUUGAUCUGGUUAUACAAUCCUCUCUCUUCUUCAAAAGCUGGGGAUCACCUCGACAGAUAUCUAUGUUUUUAAGAGCACUAAGGACGAAAAUCUUUAAACCACUCCCACUUGGUUUGUUUAUUUGUAAAAUUACUUAAAGUAUCUUUGGGUAAUCAUUUAGGCCCGUUUGAUA